rnacentral:misc_RNA from 1 species
UUUCCGUAGGUGAACCUGCGGAAGGAUCAUUAUUGAAUGAAUGUAGAGUUGGUUGUCGCUGGCCUCUUCACUGGGGCAUGUGCACGCCUUCUCUUUCAUCCACACACACCUGUGCACUUGUGAGACAGAGGCCUUUUCCUCUUUUACGAGAGGAGGGGUUUCUGUCUGCCAAUACAUAGACUCAUAUAUUGUAAUCUGAAUGUAAUUGAUGUAACGCAUCUAUAAACUAAGUUUCAACAACGGAUCUCUUGGCUCUCGCAUCGAUGAAGAACGCGC